AUUGAACGCUGGCGGAAUGCUUUACACAUGCAAGUCGAACGGCAGCACGGGGCAACCUGGUGGCGAGUGGCGAACGGGUGAGUAAUACAUCGGAACGUGCCCAAUCGUGGGGGAUAACGUAGCGAAAGUUACGCUAAUACCGCAUACGAUCUACGGAUGAAAGCGGGGGAUCGCAAGACCUCGCGCGAGUGGAGCGGCCGAUGUCAGAUUAGGUAGUUGGUGGGGUAAAGGCUCACCAAGCCAACGAUCUGUAGCUGGUCUGAGAGGACGACCAGCCACACUGGAACUGAGACACGGUCCAGACUCCUACGGGAGGCAGCAGUGGGGAAUUUUGGACAAUGGGCGCAAGCCUGAUCCAGCCAUUCCGCGUGCAGGAUGAAGGCCUUCGGUUGUAAACUGCUUUGUACGGAACGAAACGGCUCUCUCUAAUACAGGGGCUAAUGACGGUACCGUAAGAAUAAGCACCGGCUAACUACGUGCCAGCAGCCGCGGUAAAGUA
rnacentral:rRNA from 1 species